GAUGAACGCUGGCGGCGUGCCUAACACAUGUAAGUCGAGCGGCAGCGCGAGGAAUUUAUUCCUUGGCGGCGAGCGGCGGACGGCUGAGUAACGCGUGGGAACGUGCCCCAAAGUGAGGAAUAACUGCCCGAAAGGGUGGCUAAUGCCGCAUAUGAUCUUCGGAUUAAAGGAUUUAUCCGCUUUGGGAGCGGCCCGCGUUAGAUUAGGUAGUUGGUAGGAUAAUGGCCUACCAAGCCGACGAUCUAUAGCUGGUCUGAGAGGAUGAUCAGCCAGACUGGAACUGAGACACGGUCCAGACUCCUACGGGAGGCAGCAGUGAGGAAUCUUCCACAAUGGGCGAAAGCCUGAUGGAGCAACGCCGCGUGAAGGAUGAAGGCCCUCGGGUCGUAAACUUCUUUUAUAAGUGAAGAAUAUGACGGUAACUUAUGAAUAAGCACCGGCUAACUACGUGCCAGCCGCCGCCGUAA
rnacentral:rRNA from 1 species